UCAGUGGAAGUGGAAGUGGAAGUGGAAUAAACUGAGAAGCCGCAGGCUUCGAUACUAAAGAGCUACCGAAUUAAUUUUGUGAGGAACUUAGAAAAAUCCUAGCCCUGAAUAUAUUGAAGAAUGCAGUUGGCAGAACUAUAGACAGGAAUAUCUUACAUCUUGUCAUCAACAUAUGAAAAGCUACAUAAAAAAGAAGGGGAAUGUAAACAGAAAAUAGCUUUAAAAAAAACUAGAGAGCAAGAUAUAGAAAAGGGUCUUUCAUAUCAUUAUAUGUAUGAAAAUAAAUACAAUCUAUUGAAAAGAAGGGAAGAAGAAAAAUGCAACAUCAAUACCAUGAAUCAUCCAUCAUCAUCCUCGUAUGAAUAGCAUGAGAAUUAAAAGCCAGAUUCUCUUGCAGGGAUACAAAGAUAAGGAGAUGGGGAGAUGGGUUCUUCUUCGUGUAAGUUGUUUGUUGCUUUUCCUUUUUCUUAGAAACUAUAGGACUGCUUAACAUAGAUCAUUUAACCAAAAGAAGUAUAUAAAUACGAUGAUGAGAAUAAUCUAAAACUAAGCACCGAAAACCAUAACUUUUACAAUUGCCUGGCUCCAUCCUGUCUGCCUAUUUUGUUUUUCUAUUCUAUGAAGCAAUGUUAUCGUAACUGGUGUGUACUGAGAUGGACAAAGAAAGAGAAAGAGUUUACAUAAGAUUGCAGUCUUGAAGCUUUAAUGUUGGUUGUAUCCAAGUGGACUACAAAGGGAAAUAUGAAUGGAAGGAUAAUCUGGUCUCAUCAGUCCCCAUUAUAGAGAAAUGGGUGGUUGAGAAAGCUGAGAACUGCUUGUUAUCUGGAGCCAUAUUCUUAAUCUUUUCCCUUUGAGGCCCUCCCCCAACCCCACCAAAAGAAAAAGUCUGGUGGCUUCAAAGAGAGAAUAACAGGUAUGAAGUAUGAAGUUUGAGAGAGGACAUGGAGAUGGGGUUAUAAAAGAGGGACCCAGCUGAGCUGCCUUGAACGGGGAGGAACUAGGAAGAUGAAUGAAAGAGAGGCAGAAUAAGGGCAGUUUUAUGCAUGCGGGUGAAUAAACUUUUUUCUAGGGACCAAGGCCAACGCCAACGCCAAAGCCGAAGCCUAAGCAAUUGCUUUUUGGGGAAUUGUUGGCUUUAGGUGGCCUGGCCGGUGAAAGAGCCCUUUCAACUUACCCUUUGGUCUGUUUUUUCUGGUAAGAUAUGUCAAACUCUCUUUCAUUGUCUUUGCUACUUAUUUUAAUUUUAGGUCAAGUUUUAUGGGAAACCGAUUUCCUUCUAAUGCAUUUAAAUUUUGAAUUUCAAAUAUAUAUUUUAACAACUUCAUAAGCUAUAUUUAUAUUUUUAACUUAUUUUAUUACUUAAAGUUUAAUUAUAUUCACCGGUUUAUAUUUUAGAAAUAUCAAAAAAUAUAUCAAAAAAAUUUAAAAAUUUAAUUAAACAUUAGAAAAUUUUGGGAUAAUAUAGGAAAAGAGAAAUGAAUAACAAAACAAAGAAGAGAAAAAAGCUCAAACAUCAU
rnacentral:lncRNA from 1 species